rnacentral:ncRNA from 1 species
GAGACAGUUCGGUCCCUAUCUGCCGUGGGCGUUGGAGAAUUGAAGGGGGCUGCUCCUAGUACGAGAGGACCGGAGUGGACGAACCUCUGGUGUUCGGGUUGUCACGCCAGUGGCAUUGCCCGGUAGCUAAGUUCGGAAUUGAUAAGCGCUGAAAGCAUCUAAGCGCGAAGCGAGCCCUGAGAUGAGUUCUCCCUGGCAGUUUAACUGUCCUAAAGGGUUGUUCGAGACUAGAACGUUGAUAGGCAGGGUGUGUAAGCGUUGUGAGGCGUUGAGCUAACCUGUACUAAUGGCCCGUGAGGCUUAACCAU